rnacentral:lncRNA from 1 species
UCUUUUUCAGAGGAAUUAUAAAGAUCAAGAUGAAUUCAGUGAAUCUUCCCAUAGGACUGUUCAAAGAUCUUCAGGUUUUCCCUUCACUCUUUCCUUGACUUCCACCAUGAUUGUGAGGCCUCCCAGCCAUAUGGAACUGUAAGUUUGUUUUUCUUCCCAAUCUCAGGUAUGUCUUUAUCAGCAAAAGCUUUUAGCUUGAUAAAAUCUCUUUUGUCUAUUUUUGCUUUUGUUG